AUUGAACGCUGGCGGCAGGCUUAACACAUGCAAGUCGAGCGGGGUGAUGGUGCUUGCACUAUCACUUAGCGGCGGACGGGUGAGUAAUGCUUAGGAAUCUGCCUAUUAGUGGGGGACAACAUCUCGAAAGGGAUGCUAAUACCGCAUACGUCCUACGGGAGAAAGCAGGGGAUCACUUGUGACCUUGCGCUAAUAGAUGAGCCUAAGUCGGAUUAGCUAGUUGGUGGGGUAAAGGCCUACCAAGGCGACGAUCUGUAGCGGGUCUGAGAGGAUGGUCCGCCACACUGGGACUGAGACACGGCCCAGACUCCUACGGGAGGCAGCAGUGGGGAAUAUUGGACAAAGGGGGGAACCCUGAUCCAGCCAUGCCGCGUGUGUGAAGAAGGCCUUAUGGUUGUAAAGCACUUUAAGCGAGGAGGAGGCUCUUUUGGUUAAUACCCAAGAUGAGUGGACGUUACUCGCAGAAUAAGCACCGGCUAACUCUGUGCCAGCCGCCGCGGUAA
rnacentral:rRNA from 1 species